rnacentral:rRNA from 1 species
GAUGAACGCUGGCGGCGUGCUUAACGCAUGCAAGUCGAGCGAGUGAGUUCUUCGGAACGAUCUAGCGGCGGACGGGUGAGUAACACGUGGGCAACCUGCCUCAUAGAGGGGAAUAGCCUCCCGAAAGGGAGAUUAAUACCGCAUAAAAUUAUCGAGUGGCAUCACACGGUAAUCAAAGGAGUAAUCCGCUAUGAGAUGGGCCCGCGGCGCAUUAGCUAGUUGGUGAGGUAACGGCUCACCAAGGCGACGAUGCGUAGCCGACCUGAGAGGGUGAUCGGCCACAUUGGGACUGAGACACGGCCCAGACUCCCACGGGAGGCAGCAGUGGGGAAUAUUGCACAAUGGGGGAAACCCUGAUGCAGCACCGCCGCGUGAGUGAUGAAGGUCUUCGGAUUGUAAAGCUCUGUCUUUGGGGACGAUAAUGACGGUACCCAAGGAGGAAGCCACGGCUAACUACGUGCCAGCAGCCGCCGUAA